CAAAAGAUGUGUAAGACCCAUGCACUGAAAAUAUUGCUGAGAGAAAUCAAAGAUGACCUAAAUAAGUGAAGAGAUAUAUAUCCUCAUGGAUCAGAUGACUCAGUAAUAUUAAGCUGUUAAUUCUGUUACAGUUGAUCUACAGACUCAGUACUAUCCCAAUAAAAAACCCAGCAUGCUGUUUUUUGUGAAAAUAACAAAUUGAUUCUAAAAACAACGUAUGACAGCCCAAACAAUUUUGUAAAAGAAGAAGAAAGUUGUUGAAAUUGCACAAAUUUCCACAUCUAAAAAGCUCCAAUGAUCAAGAUAGCGUGGUAUUGGUGUCAAGAUAGACAAAUCGGAGCAGGGUGAAGAACAAGAGGCAAGAACGACCCCUGGACAGACCAACACCUGCGUGCCGUGCUGCAUCCCGCGCCCAGCGCCUAUGUCCCCCCGCUGUUGCCGCCACCACAGUGCCCAAGAGAAAGGCUGAAGGUGAUGCUAAAGCAGAUAGAGCGAAGAUGAAGGACAAACCACAGAGAAGAUCCACGAGGUUUUCUACUAAGCCUGCUCCUCCAAAGCCAGAGCCCAAACCUAAAAAGGCCCCUGCAAAGAAGGGAGAGAAGGUACCAAAAGGGAAAAGGGAAAAGCUGAGGCUGGCCAGGAGGGGAAUAACCCUGCAGAAAAUGGAGAUGCCCAAACAGACCGGACACAGAAAGCUGAAGGUGCUGCAGAUGCCAAGUGAAAAUUAGACCUUUACGAGAAGCACAGUUUUGUCUUCAGUUUCCUCUCCCCCCACCCGGAAUGGCCUGAGCCGAAGCCAGCUCCCUCCGAGAAGUCAUU
rnacentral:lncRNA from 1 species